rnacentral:rRNA from 1 species
GACGAACGCUGGCGGCGUGCUUAACACAUGCAAGUCGAACGGAAAGGCCCUGCUUUUGUGGGGUGCUCGAGUGGCGAACGGGUGAGUAACACGUGAGUAACCUGCCCUUGACUUUGGGAUAACUUCAGGAAACUGGGGCUAAUACCGGAUAGGAGCUCCUGUUGCAUGGUGGGGGUUGGAAAGUUUCGGCGGUUGGGGAUGGACUCGCGGCUUAUCAGCUUGUUGGUGGGGUAGUGGCUUACCAAGGCUUUGACGGGUAGCCGGCCUGAGAGGGUGACCGGCCACAUUGGGACUGAGAUACGGCCCAGACUCCUACGGGAGGCAGCAGUGGGGAAUAUUGCACAAUGGGCGGAAGCCUGAUGCAGCAACGCCGCGUGCGGGAUGACGGCCUUCGGGUUGUAAACCGCUUUCGCCUGUGACGAAGCGUGAGUGACGGUAAUGUGUAAAGAAGCACCGGCUAACUACGUG